ACAGGAGGUGCGAUGCAAGCUGAAGCCGCAGGACAGAGAGCGCUCCUCCAGAUAGUUUGCCCUGCUGUGUGCCAAUACACUAGAGUUGUUUGCAGAGGCGUUCUGUUUAAUGAUACAUGCUACAACGCUUGCACUCUGCCGCGGGGAUGCCGACCAGUUUGACAUCCAGAUUGAAAGUACUGAAUAAAGCCGUUUAUAAUUGAGUAUACCUGAUGGUAACUCAGUAUUGAAGUACUUGAGCUUUGUUGAAGUCUUGUCGAUAUCAUACGAAUAUGAAGCUUUUGCUGUAUUUCUCA